rnacentral:rRNA from 1 species
GCCCAAAAUCUAGCCCACCUAUCCCCUAUGAUAUCUUCCCCCCCCUUUUUUUUAAACAAAACAUUUUAACAGCUUAGUAUAGGCGAUUGAAAAAUUUCUUGGCGCUUUAGAGAAAGUACCGCAAGGGAAUGUGAAAUAGUAAUGAAAUAACCUUAAAGCACUAAAUGCAGAGCUCCCCCUCGUACCUUUUGCAUCAUGGUCUAACUAGUCUUACCAGGCAAAAUGAAAACUUUCGUCUGACUCCCCGAAACUAAGCGAGCUACUUCAAAACACCGCAAGGGGCCAACCCAUCUCUGUUGCAAAAGAGUGGGAAGAUUUUUAAGUAGAGGCGACAAACCUACCGAGCUUAGAGAUAGCUGGUUGUUCAGGAAAAGAGUUUUAGCUCAACCUUAAACCUCAUAAUUACAUUAAACAAAACAAUAGGCUUAAGAGCUAUUCAAAUAAGGCACAGCUUAUUUGAAUCAGGAUACAACCUCUAACUACGGGUUAAUUUAGGUCCAUAAAACUAAGUAGGCCUAAAAGCAGCCACCUAAAAGAAAGCGUUAUAGCUCAAUUUCCUUGAACCUUAAAUCCAUUAAACUACUUACAACCCCUCCCUACUACUGAACAUAUUUUAUAUGUUAUAAAAAUAAUAAUGCUAGAACUAGUAACAAGAAUCGGCCCUUCUCCUAAAUGUGAAUUAAAGCCAAAAUGGACACUCCAUUGGCAAUUACCGCAAAUGCACUAACCAUAGUACCUCAUGCAAGAAAACCCUAUUACCCUCAGCGUUAACCUAACACCAGAACAUUACAGGAAAGAUUAACAGAGAAAGAAGGAACUCGGCAAAUUUCAGUCCCGCCUGUUUACCAAAAACAUCGCCUCUUGUUUAAAUAUAAGAGGUCCAGCCUGCCCAGUGACAUAGUUCAACGGCCGCGGUAUCCUAACCGUGCGAAGGUAGCAUAAUCACUUGUUCUUUAAAUAGGGACUUGUAUCAACGGCAUCACGAGGGCUGUACUGUCUCCUUUCUCCAAUCAGUGAAACUGAUCUCCCCGUGAAGAAGCGGGGAUAAAUAUAUAAGACGAGAAGACCCCAUGGAGCUUAAAACCUCACACAUCUCUAUGUUAUUAAAUCACUUAAACAAGGGGGGUUGUGGCUGGGUUUUAGGUUGGGGAGACCACGGAGUAAAAUUAAACCUCCAUGACAAACGCCAACGCCCUCACCCAUGAAUUACAAUUACAAUUCUAAGUAUUAACAAACUAAUGUUGAUGAUCCGGUUAGCCGAUCAACGAACCAAGUUACCCUGGGGAUAACAGCGCCAUCUGCUUCAAGAGCCCCUAUCGACAAGCAGGUUUACGACCUCGAUGUUGGAUCAGGGUAUCCUAGUGGUGCAGCCGCUACUAAAGGUUCGUUUGUUCAACGAUUAAAACCCUA